GAAAUGCGAUAAGUAAUGUGAAUUGCAGAAUUCAGUGAAUCAUCGAAUCUUUGAACGCACCUUGCGCUCCUUGGUAUUCCUUGGAGCAUGCCUGUUUGAGUAUCAUGAAAUCUUCAAAGUAAAUCUUUUGUUAACUCAAUUGGUUUCUACUUUGGUAUUGGAGGUCUUUGCAGCUUCACACCUGCUCCUCUUUGUUCAUUAGCUGGAUCUCAGUGUUAUGCUUGGUUCCACUCGGCGUGAUAAGUUAUCUAUCGCUGAGGACACUGUAAAAGGUGGCCAAGGUAAAUGCAGAUGAACCGCUUCUAAUAGUCCAUUGACUUGGACAAUAUUUUUAUGAUCUGAUCUCAAAUCAGGUAGGACUACCCGCUGAACUUAAGC
rnacentral:misc_RNA from 1 species